AGAGUUUGAUCAUGGCUCAGAACGAACGCUGGCGGCGUGGAUAAGACAUGCAAGUCGGACGGGAUUAUUUCUGUAGCAAUACGGGAAUAAUUCAGUGGCGAACGGGUGCGUAACACGUGGGCAAUCUGCCGAAAAGUGGGGGAUAGCUCGCCGAAAGGCGAAUUAAUACCGCAUGUGGUCAAGAGAGACAUCUCUUUGAAUCCAAAGGUGGCGCAAGCUACCGCUUUUUGAGGAGCCCGCGGCCUAUCAGCUAGUUGGUGAGGUAACGGCUCACCAAGGCGAUGACGGGUAGCUGGUCUGAGAGGACGACCAGCCACACUGGAACUGAGACACGGUCCAGACACCUACGGGUGGCAGCAGUCGAGAAUUUUUCUCAAUGGGGGAAACCCUGAAGGAGCGACGCCGCGUGGAGGAUGAAGGCUUUCGGGUUGUAAACUCCUGUCAUUUGGGAACAAGGCUGCGCGCGUAACUGCCGCGUAGUUGAUAGUACCAGAAGAGGAAGAGACGGCUAACUCUGUGCCAGCAGCCGCGGUAAUACAGAGGUCUCAAGCGUUGCUCGGAUUCAUUGGGCGUAAAGGGUGCGUAGGUGGCGCUGUAAGUCGGGUGUGAAAUCCUGGGGCUUAACCCCGGAACUGCAUUCGAUACUGCAGUGCUUGAGGACUGGAGAGGAGACUGGAAUUCAUGGUGUAGCAGUGAAAUGCGUAGAGAUCAUGAGGAAGACCAGUGGCGAAGGCGGGUCUCUGGACAGUUCCUGACACUGAGGCACGAAGGCCAGGGGAGCAAACGGGAUUAGAUACCCCAGUAGUCC
rnacentral:rRNA from 1 species